rnacentral:rRNA from 1 species
GAUGAACGCUGGCGGCGUGCCUAAUACAUGCAAGUCGAGCGCACAGACGAGGAGCUUUCUCCUCUGACGUUAGCGGCGGACGGGUGAGUAACACGUGGAUAACCUACCUAUUAGACUGGGAUAACUUCGGGAAACCGGAGCUAAUACCGGAUAAUCUCUUGAACCGCAUGGUUCAAUAGUGAAAGACGGUUUUGCUGUCACUUAUAGAUGGAUCCGCGCCGCACUAGCUAGUUGGUAGGGUGACGGCUUACCAAGGCGACGGUGCGUAGCCGACCUGAGGGGGUGAUCGGCCACACGGGAACUGAGACACGGUCCACACUCCAACAGGAGGCAGCAGUAGGGAAUCUGCCGCAAUGGGCGAAAGCCUGAAGGAGCAACGAGGCAUGAGUGAUGAAGGUCUUCGGAUCGUAAAACUCUGUUAUUAGUGAAGAACAAAUGUGUAAGAAACUAGGCACGUCGUGACGGUACCUAAUCAGAAAGCCACGGCUAACUACGUG